ACGGGUGAGUAACGCGUGGAUGAUCUACCCUUGAGUUCGGGAUAACGGAACGAAAGAUCCGCUAAUACCGUAUAACAAUCCAUUUCAUCGUGGGUUCAAAACAGGCCUCUUCGUGAAAGCUUGCGCUUGGGGAUGAGUCCGCGUCCCAUUAGCUUGUUGGCGGGGUAACGGCCCACCAAGGCUACGAUGGGUAGCUGGUCUGAGAGGAUGAUCAGCCACACUGGAACUGAAACACGGUCCAGACUCCUACGGGAGGCAGCAGUGGGGAAUAUUGCGCAAUGGGGGAAACCCUGACGCAGCGACGUCGUGUGAGGGAAGAAGGCCUUCGGGUCGUAAACCUCUGUCAGAAGGGAAGAACCGCCGGGGGUCAAAUAGCCCCUCGGUCUGACGGUACCUUCAGAGGAAGCGCCGGCUAACUCCGUGCCAGCAGCCGCGGUAAUACGGAGGGCGCAAGCGUUAAUCGGAAUCACUGGGCGUAAAGCGUGCGUAGGCUGUUUGAUAAGUCAGGCGUGAAAUCCCUCGGCUCAACCGGGGAACAGCGCUUGAUACUGUCGAACUCGAGUCCUGGAGAGGGUGGCGGAAUUC
rnacentral:rRNA from 1 species